GCCUAGUUAGCUUAGUUGGUAGUGCGUCUGCCUUGUAAGCGUUAGGCCGCGGGUUCGAUUCCCGCCCGAGGCG
rnacentral:tRNA from 1 species